CUUGGCCUUAACCCUGGAGUUGGGGUAAAAUCCCCCCACGGCAGCAGAAGAAUUAGGGGGCUUUGCAUACCUUGGAUUCUUUACCUCAUCCUGGGUUCUACUUCCCUAGAAGGGUAAAUUACUGAAGCGACCGUUCUGGAAAUCUGCUCUGUAUUCGAGACUCCUCAAGGCUCCAAACAGGAAAAUAAUAAACUGACAUGCUGAGAAGCUGAGUCCUGCCCCUUCCUGUCUGCCUUGCACUGCAGACAGGUGUCUGGAUGGGAAACCGGUCACCCCUGUCAGACGGAGUUUCCUGCAUAGUCUUGCUCUUGUCUGCCAGCUGGGCCCAGGUCACCCCACAAGGCAGAUGUGGGGAACAGCUGGUGUCUGGACAGACAGACAAAGGGAGGAAGGAUGGAGGGAGCAGACUGACAUUCUGGGCCAUCUGACCAGGAGUCCCCAGGCCUGGUGACUGGGAAGAGGGUUCGGUAGAGAGUUGGCUAGAAGGAAAUGUGGGAGAAGAUGCUGAAUGCUUGCUUACCCAUGGGCCUUAAGUUCAUACCCAGGACAGCUCUCUAGGAGCACUAGGAAGGAAGAAGCCCACCCGCCAGGGGAAGGGGGGAAGCCGCAAGCUCAUUACCUCUAGAUGUUCAGAACAGGGGUUAGAGGCAGAUGUCUCACAGUCCAGACUCACAAGAUUUGCAUCUCAGUCCUACCACCUGCUGGCUGUGGGACCUUGGCCCUUCUCAGCCUCAGCUGCAUUGUCUACAAGAUGAGCAUAACAAGACAACACCUACAAUGGGGCUGCUGCGUGAUGAAAUGAGAUGACACGUGCAAAAACGAUCACCACUAUGCUUGGCAAAUCAUAAGCUCUCAAAAAAUAGUAAUGACGAUUGUUUGGAGUAAGGAAAUCCUGACUCUUACCCGCGGCUGUGUCACCUUGUAAAAAAGUCAGACUUCCAGGAAUCCCCAAUGUGAAGAAAGCACCAAACGCUGCGAACAAGGAACAACUACGGCAAAGCUGUGUGCACCAGAAGAGAAGGUCAGGCUCUGUAACCCAUGCUCCCCACAUGGUUCUUACAGCCCUCUCCAUCCUGUCUUCCACCACUGCUCACCUCCUCCAGGAGAGCUGCUCAUUCUCCAGGGCUCCAUGUAAAUGUCACCUCCAAAGCAGCUUUCUCUCACCUUCACUCUGCUCUCCAAAAGAUCCUGCACCUGUCCUUUACUGCCCUUGCACAAAAGCACUACGAGGUGUGGUUGUAUACCUCACUGCUUAACACCUGGCUCCCUUAAUAGACUGUGCGCUUCACAAGGGCAGGUGUCAGUCUAUCUGGACUCUGGAAAGUGCACACAGUCCGGUACAGUGCUGGGCCCACACAAAUGCUCAAGGAACAUGCGUCUCACUGAACGAAGGAAACUUGGCCGACAAGAAGGAUCACCAGUUUAAAGAAGGGGAUCUUUUAACACAAAAGGCCAAAAUUACAUACAUAACGUGGGUGGAAAAGCAAUGACUAUGAAGCAUAUGCAGAACUGCCAAAGAACGGACUCUGGGUCUCUCACUAAAGAGGCAGCACUCACCUAAGGGCCCUGAUGUCUGAAAUUGUUGCACCCGAACCCAGUAUAGGAACAGAGAGCCAAAGUGGCCAUAUGGUGUACAUGCAUAUAUUUUUGCAAGUGACUGUAAUAAUUUGGAAUCUGCACCUGAACCCCAGUCUCAUGACUUCAUGUUCCUACCAUGCACUCUGUAGAAACAGCAAUCCAUUUAAGGAAGUUUCCCAAUAAAAAUAAAUUAGUUUUUUUUUU